rnacentral:pre_miRNA from 1 species
AGUGGAAUUACUGGGUCACAUGGUAAGUAUAUAUUUAACUUUAUAAGAAACUGCCAAACUGCUUUACAAAGUGGUUCUACCAUUCUGCAUUCCCAAGAGCAAC